GAGGUUGUGGCUCAGAGGAAGAGCAUUCGCCUUGCAAGUGUGAGGCUCUGGGUUUGAUCCUCAGCACCACA
rfam:Ictidomys tridecemlineatus contig108736, whole genome shotgun sequence.